GGUCAAGCUAGGAAGGGCAUACGGUGGAUGCCUAGGCGCGAAGGGCCGAAGAAGGACGUGGUAAGCUGCGAAAAGCCACGGGGAGCCGCAAACAGGCUUCGAUCCGUGGAUAUCCGAAUGGGGCAACCCGGCGGGGGCGAACCCCCGUCACCGAUUACUGAAUCCAUAGGUAACCGGAGGGCACCCGGCGAACUGAAACAUCUUAGUAGCCGGAGGAAGAGAAAGAAAAAUCGAACCCCCCAGUAGCGGCGAGCGAAAAGGGGCGAGCCUAAACCGGCAGUGCGUGCACAGCCGGGGUUGCGGGACUCUCAUCAGUAAGGUAAGUAGCUUUAGCCGAAGCGGUUUGGAAAGACCCGUCACAGAAGGUAACAACCCUGUAGGCGAAAAGGCGAACAUCUUCGAGAGUAUCCCAAGUACCACGGGACACGAGGAACCCCGUGGGAAUCCGGGAGGACCACCUUCCAAGGCUAAAUACCCGACGCGACCGAUAGUGAACAAGUACCGUGAGGGAAAGGUGAAAAGCACCCCGGGAGGGGAAUGAAAUAGAACCUGAAACCGUAUGCUUACAAACAGUCAAAGCACGAUUAAAGUGUGAUGGCGUACUUUUUGUAGAACGGACCGGCGAGUUACUUCUGACGGGCAAGGUUAAGCCACAAAAGGCGGAGCCGCAGCGAAAGCGAGUCUUAAUAGGGCGAAAAUAGUCCGUUGGAGUAGACCCGAAACCGGGUGAUCUACCCAUGUCCAGAGUGAAGCUUUAGUAAAAUAAAGUGGAGGCUCGAACCGACCGUCGUUGAAAAGGCGGCGGAUGAGGUGUGGGUAGGGGUGAAAUGCCAAUCGAACCCGGAAAUAGCUGGUUCUCCCCGAAAUAGCUUUAGGGCUAGCCUUGGGAAUAAAUACCGGAGGUAGAGCACUGAAUGGGCUAGGGGCCUUCACCGGUUACCGAACCCAAUCAAACUCCGAAUGCCGGAUAUUUGGAUCCCAGGAGUCAGACUGCGGGUGCUAAGGUUCGUAGUCAAGAGGGAAACAGCCCAGACCGUCGGUUAAGGUCCCAAAGACAGGCUAAGUGGAAAAGGAUGUGGAGUUGCCCGGACAACCAGGAUGUUGGCUCAGAAGCAGCCACCAUUUAAAGAGUGCGUAAUAGCUCACUGGUCAAGUGGCUCUGCGCCGAAAAUGUAACGGGGCUAAGCCUGUCACCGAAGCCACGGAUUUCAGUAAUGGAAUGGUAGGGGAGCGUUCCGUACACAGCGAAGCUAUACUGUAAGGAGUAGUGGAGAGUACGGAAGUGAGAAUGCCGGUAUAAGUAAGCGAAAAGGCAGGUGAGAAUCCUGCCCGCCGUAAACCUAAGGUUUUCUGGGGAAGGCUCGUCCGCCCAGAGUAAGCCGGGACCUAAGCCGAGGCCGACAGGCGUAGGCGAUGGAGAAUCGGUUGAGAAUCCGAUGCCACUUUCCGCCGUUUGAAGGAUGGGGUGACACAGGAGGGUAAGCUAAGCGCGCGAUUGGAAAAGCGCGUCCAAGGUGGUAGGGUAAGAGAUAGGCAAAACCGUCUCUUGAAAAGCCCGAGAGCUGAUGGGGAGCGAAAUAAAGUAGCGAAGUAGCCGAACCCAAACUGUCAAGAAAAACCUCUAACGAGGCGAGAGAGUGCCCGUACCGUAAACCGACACAGGUAGGUGGGGUGAGAAUCCUAAGGCGCGCGAGAUAACCCUCGUUAAGGAACUCGGCAAAAUGACCCCGUAACUUCGGGAGAAGGGGUACCCCGUUAGCGUGAAAACUUUUACAGAGGUAGCGCGAGGGGGUCGCAGAGAAAAGGCCCAAGCGACUGUUUAUCAAAAACACAGGUCCCUGCUAAAUCGUAAGAUGAUGUAUAGGGGCUGACGCCUGCCCGGUGCUGGAAGGUUAAGGGGAGAGCUUAGGGGCGACCCGAAGGUUUGAACCGAAGCCCCAGUAAACGGCGGCCGUAACUAUAACGGUCCUAAGGUAGCGAAAUUCCUUGUCGGGUAAGUUCCGACCCGCACGAAAGGCGUAACGAUUUGGGCACUGUCUCAACGAGGGGCUUGGUGAACUUGUAAUGCCGGUGAAGAUGCCGGCUACCUGCGACAGGACAGAAAGACCCCGUGGAGCUUUACUGUAACCUGACAUUGGGUUUUGGUAUUGCAUGUACAGGAUAGGUGGGAGACUUGGAAAUCAGGACGCCAGUCUUGGUGGAGUCAACGUUGGGAUACCACCCUUGGAGUAUUGAAGUUCUAACAUAGCGCCGUGAAGCCGG
rnacentral:rRNA from 1 species